rnacentral:rRNA from 1 species
AGCGAACGCUGGCGGCAGGCCUAACACAUGCAAGUCGAACGAACCUUUCGGGGUUAGUGGCGGACGGGUGAGUAACACGUGGGAACGUGCCUUUAGGUUCGGAAUAACUCAGGGAAACUUGUGCUAAUACCGCAUGUGCCCUUCGGGGGAAAGAUGAAUCGCCUUUAGAGCGGCCCGCGUCUGAUUAGCCAGUUGGUUGAGGUAAUGGCUCACCAAGGCGACGAUCAGUAGCUGGUCUGAGAGGAUGAUCAGCCACAUUGGGACUGAGACACGGCCCAAACUGCGACGGGAGGCAGCAGUGGGGAAUCUAGCGCAAUGGGCGAAAGCCUGACGAAGCCAUGCGGCGUGAAUGAGGAAGGUGUUAGGAUUGUAAAAUUCUUUCACCGGGGACGAUAAUGACGGUACCCGGAGAAGAAGCCCCGGCUAACUUCGUG